CUCAACUAUCUGCAUGAGAGGACUCACCACCUUGGAAUUAGAGCUGGGAAAUGUUUUUGGAAAAACAGAAGAGGUGCUGGAGGAGAAAAGCGUUGUCUCUCUGGCCUGGCAGGUCACAGCUGAAAUUAAUCAUGAGAGAUUUAGCACUGAAGUGGAGGAGAAAGCUGAAAAGCUGAGAGAGGCACUGCUCGAACACUGGUGAGCCCAAUGUCUCUUUCCAAAAAGGAAGAUGCAGAAUUUGCUCAGUUGUUUUUAAGGAACCAUGACUGAACACAAAGGGAACAGGGAGAUCUGCUGAAAAUUGAAAAUACUGGAGACAGUAAAGUGUGUUGUGCAAGGGCUUCUGUUGGCCAGAAGAAGUGAAAUAACAGCUCACUUCCUAAAAUGGAGAUAUCCCCACAUUUUGUUCCUGGCUGAGGAGAACAGCUCUAUUUACCAUAGAUCUGACAAGUCCCGGGGCAUUUUGCACCCUAUAAAAUUCCUAUAAUUUACCUGAAACUGCCAAUAAAUUGACUGAAACCUAAAUAGUGUAUCUUCCUUGAAAAGAAGCUGCUGUUCUGUGCUUUUUUUUUUUU